rnacentral:rRNA from 1 species
AUUGAACGCUGGCGGCAUGCUUUACACAUGCAAGUCGAACGGUAACAGGCCUUCGGGUGCUGACGAGUGGCGAACGGGUGAGUAAUGCAUCGGAACGUGCCCAAUCGUGGGGGAUAACGUAGCGAAAGUUACGCUAAUACCGCAUAAGCCCUGAGGGGGAAAGCAGGGGAUCGCAAGACCUUGCGCGAAUGGAGCGGCCGAUGUCAGAUUAGCUAGUUGGUGGGGUAAAGGCCUACCAAGGCGACGAUCUGUAGCGGGUCUGAGAGGAUGAUCCGCUACACUGGGACUGAGACACGGCCCAGACUCCUACGGGAGGCAGCAGUGGGGAAUUUUGGACAAUGGGCGCAAGCCUGAUCCAGCCAUGCCGCGUGCGGGACGAAGGCCUUCGGG